UACGUAGGGUGCAAGCGUUGUCCGGAAUUAUUGGGCGUAAAGAGCUCGUAGGCGGUCUGUCACGUCGGCUGUGAAAACCCGGGGCUCAACCCCGGGCCUGCAGUCGAUACGGGCAGACUAGAGUGCGGUAGGGGAGACUGGAAUUCCCGGUGUAGCGGUGAAAUGCGCAGAUAUCGGGAAGAACACCCGUGGCGAAGGCGGCUCUCUGGGACGGUACUGACGCUGAGACGCGAAAGCGUGGGGAGCGAACAGG
rnacentral:rRNA from 1 species